GACAGAGGGGGCAAGCGUUGCUCGGAAUCACUGGGCGUAAAGGGCGCGUAGGCGGGAUGGCAAGUCGGUCGUGAAAUCCUUCGGCUCAACCGAAGAACGUCGGCCGAUACUGCCGUUCUUGAGGGAUGCAGAGGAGAUUGGAAUUCCCGGUGUAGCGGUGAAAUGUGUAGAGAUCGGGAGGAACACCCGUGGCGAAGGCGGCUCUCUGGGACGGUACUGACGGCUGAGACGCGAAAAGCGUGGGGAGCGAACGAGGA
rnacentral:rRNA from 1 species